UAAAUCUCAUAGGAGUUGGGAUGAAGAAGUUAUCCCACUUCUAAUCAGGUGAUUCCAGUUUUCCCGUUUGGGAAUAGGAAGCUUCUUCGUCGUUCCAAUCAAACCAGGAUGAAUCACUUUGUAAGAAGCUUGAUUUGGAUACAUAAAAUGGUGGAGAAACACCAGGAAGUUGAAUAAUCUCAUAGGAGUUGGAUGAAGAAGUUAUCCCACUUUCUAAUCAGGUGAUUCCAGUUUCCCAGUUUGGGAAUAGGACAGCUUCUCCGUCGUUCCAUCAAACCAGGAUGAAUCACUUUGUAAGAAGCUUGAUUUGGAUACAUAAAGUGGUGGAGAAUCAC